UACGUAGGUGGCAAGCGUUGUCCGGAAUUAUUGGGCGUAAAGCGCGCGCAGGCGGUCUUUUAAGUCUGAUGUGAAAGCCCCCGGCUCAACCGGGGAGGGUCAUUGGAAACUGGGGGACUUGAGUGCAGGAGAGAAAAGUGGAAUUCCACGUGUAGCGGUGAAAUGCGUAGAGAUGUGGAGGAACACCAGUGGCGAAGGCGACUUUUUGGCCUGUAACUGACGCUGAGGCGCGAAAGCGUGGGGAGCAAACAGG
rnacentral:rRNA from 1 species